GCUCAGUCUUCCCGCAGAGGGUAGGUCGGACAAAUGGUGCCGGAAACCCGGGACGGGAGCUGAGGCCGUUGGCCCGGCCAUGGCCCCCCUCCCCUACCUACCCAACACUGGCCCUGCCACCUCCACGUUCCGAUUAAGAACCGAAGAGCCCUGGACCUGCUCACUGCUGAACGAGGAGGGACCUGUAUCUUCCUACAAGAAGAGUGCUGUUACUACAUCAAUGAAUCCGGCCUAGUAGAAACCCGAAUCGAGAGCCUCCAGAAACUCAAAACUAACCUGUAGAGUCAGAAGUUCUCGGCUGAAGCCACAGCGUGGUGGUCUUCCUCUAUGUAUACCCUCUUGUCACCAUUGCUUGGGCCCCUAAUAGCCGUUUGCCUAAUCUUACUUAUUGCUCCUUGCUUUCUCCAGUUCCUACAGCGGCUCUUUCAAGAACUGACUGGAGUCACCAUCCACCAGAUGCUGCUCCAACCCCACCCUGAACGAGUGCAAGAAACAGACCUCUCCCCAAACCUCCAGGCUCCUUAGGAAAAGAAACCUCUUCAGAACCCCCCGUCGACCCUUGUCAGCAGGAAGUAGCCAGAGAGACAACCGACGCCCCUGACCCCCUCUUUUUCUUUUCUUUAAGGAGUCGGGAAUGUUUGGAAAACUCUGCCCCUACCGCAAAAUCUCUCUCUCUUUCCCUCCCCCACAAAGAGGCUCCCUUAUCUCUCACUUUACAUACCGGCCCUAGCCCUCCCGCCGCCCAGCUUCCCGCCCAGCAGUUCAAACUGACCAACAGUUGCCCACCACCUCGGCUUUUGGCUUCCCCACCCCCCAGCCCUUCAGCCCCCUAUAAAACAACCCUGCCCCUCUGAGCGGCGCGGCCAUUUUUCCUUUUCGUCCCAGCUGGCCCGCCCGGAGGCUCUUUCCUCUCAAUAAAGCCUGAACUUAAGGAA